rnacentral:rRNA from 1 species
UACGAACUGUGCAAACGUUAUUCGGAAUUACUGGGCGUAAAGCGUGUGUAGGCGGCUUGGCAAGUCGGAUGUGAAAGCCCUGGGCUCAACCCAGGAAGUGCACUCGAUACUGCCGAGCUUGAGUAUCGGAGAGGUUGGUGGAAUUCUCGGUGUAGAGGUGAAAUUCGUAGAUAUCGAGAGGAACACCGGCGGCGAAGGCGGCCAACUGGACGAAUACUGACGCUGAGACACGAAA